UGUGGAGGCGUGUGGAAAGGCAAGCCUAUAGACCAGACUGACCGGUGCUGCUUCCAACAUGGCUGCUGCUACGCUCGGGCCGAAAAAUUUGGCUGCAAGACCGACACGGACUACGACUGGUCAUGUAGAGACGGGACGGCUUAUUGUGGAAUCACUGAUGACAAGUGUCAGAAGUUGAUCUGCCACUGUGACCAAGAAUUUGCUAACUGCCUGAAAAAUGCACCCUACAAUUGGACCCCAGACUUGCAGAUCUCCCAGUGCUCUGGAAGCAAACCAUCAUGUCUCUAUAAAGGAAAAUGAUCUUGGUAGUCAAUGAAGACCAAUAGUAGCCACAUCCUUACAGCAAUAGUUUAUUCCUUUAAUCAAUGUGUGGGACACUGCAUGUCGUGUUGUUUUAAAAUCACCAUCCUUUAUUUUGAUUUGUGUGGGAAUAUAACAGGUACUGUAUUUGCAUUAUAAAUAUGUUAUGCUUUUUCAUUCCUCAAGCGGUGAUCAAUAAAUAAAAG